GAUGAACGCUGGCGGCGUGCCUAAUACAUGCAAGUAGAACGCUGAAGGAGGAGCUUGCUCUUCUGGAUGAGUUGCGAACGGGUGAGUAACGCGUAGGUAACCUGCCUGGUAGCGGGGGAUAACUAUUGGAAACGAUAGCUAAUACCGCAUGACAACAGUUAUUGCAUGAUAACUGUUUAAAAGGGGCAACUGCUCCACUACCAGAUGGACCUGCGUUGUAUUAGCUAGUUGGUGAGGUAACGGCUCACCAAGGCGACGAUACAUAGCCGACCUGAGAGGGUGAUCGGCCACACUGGGACUGAGACACGGCCCAGACUCCUACGGGAGGCAGCAGUAGGGAAUCUUCGGCAAUGGACGGAAGUCUGACCGAGCAACGCCGCGUGAGUGAAGAAGGUUUUCGGAUCGUAAAGCUCUGUUGUAAGAGAAGAGCGAGUGUGAGAGUGGAAAGUUCACACUGUGACGGUAUCUUACCAGAAAGGGACGGCUAACUACGUG
rnacentral:rRNA from 1 species